UACGUAGGGUGCAAGCGUUAAUCGGAAUUACUGGGCGUAAAGCGUGCGCAGGCGGUUUUGUAAGUCUGUCGUGAAAGCCCCGGGCUCAACCUGGGAAUUGCGAUGGAGACUGCAAGGCUUGAAUCUGGCAGAAGGGGGUAGAAUUCCACGUGUAGCAGUGAAAUGCGUAGAGAUGUGGAGGAACACCGAUGGCGAAGGCAGCCCCCUGGGUCA
rnacentral:rRNA from 1 species